GAAUCAAAUUCUCCAAACAAGUUGUCCCAGGAUCAUCAGAUGGACUUGGGCAUCAAAUUUUCCGCAACAUCAACAGGAGUCAUAUUGGUUUCCUCCAACAAUCUGCGGAUGCUUGCAAACAAAUGGUGGGAGUCAAGAUCCAAGUAAUUCUUAGCAAACACCUUGAAUGCUUCAAAGCAACAGUAGGAUAAUUUAUUAUUAGUGAAUUAAUUUGAAAUUUAUUAAUUUGGGUUUGUGGGCAUAUUGUAUUUGGUGAUUAAUUUAAGGAUAUUUGGAUUAUAUUAAUUGUAAACUGUUUAUUUGGAUUUGGGCUUAUUGUUUAAGUUGUUAUUUGUUUGGGUUUAAAAUAUUAUUUCUCUUGAUCAUGUAUUUUUUUUUUAUGUGAGCUUGUUAAUUUAUGUGAAUUUUGGGGCUCAUAAUGUAGAUGAGAUUUAUUGGAUUAUUUAAAUAUUUUAUAUGGGUUUGAUCAAUUUGAAUUAUUUAAUUUAGAUAUGAGACAAUUGUGGUGUAUAUUAAAUUAAGCUUAGAUUAUGAAAUAUUAAAUUUAUGUUUAGUAGAAUUUAUUUUAAUUGGGUUGUGUUGUUGGAAGGGAGAUGUGGUGGAGUGCUGUGAAGGAGGAAGAAGAAGGAGAAGAAGAAAAAAAAUCUGGGCCCGCGUGGGAGUUCGGGGGAGAAGAGAAAAGGAAAAAAUAUGGGAAGAUGUCAGGGUGGGGUGCCGGAGGAAAGAAAAAAAAUGAGGGGGGAAGGGAGGCUGGCGAAAAGCCAGGGACCCCACCCAAAAAAAUUGGGGGCACUCGUUUCUCUUUUGGGAAUAGGGGAGAGGAAAAAAAGAAAAAAAUGUAAAAAAUCAGCAGAGAGAGAGGCGGGCUGCCGAAUGGAGGGAAAAUCAAUCGGGGGAGGGCCGGCCAAUUGGGAAACGGAGGAAGAAAAAAAUAAUAAAAAAAAGGAAGAAAAUCAUGAAGAGUGGAGAGGGGGGCUUUUAGACGUGAGAGAGCAUGGGUUAGGUGAGGGUAGGUGGAGGAAGAGAAGAGAGAAGAGGGAGGAGAGAGGAAAGAAAAAAAUAAUAAUAAAUAUAUAUAUAUAUAUAUCAUAUAAUAUAAUAUAAUAAUAACAAAAAAAAUAAAAAAAUAAAAAAAUAAUUUAUAAAAUAAUAAAAACGAGAAAUUAAAGGAUGAAUAGACUUAAAAUUGAACUUAAAAUUAAUAUAAAAAUAAAAUUAAAAUAAAUUUUGAACUCUACAUAUAUAUUUAUAAAUUAAAAAGUCUAAAUUAGGUUCGAACUUAGGUCUUCCAUCAUUCAUCGACAGCUUGGCCAGAACAUUGGUUGUUGGGACAUUGUAUGAGCACAGCAUUUUUAGUUUUUAGUUGAACUACAAAAACGGAAAAAACAAUUGAUCCUCAUGUUUUAAAAGAAAGAAAUUACUGUGAAGAGUAUGAAAUAAUAUUAAAAAUAAAACAAAGUUGAAAUUCUUUUAUUCCGGUCACUGACUGAGAAAUAAGAAGAGAAACAAGAGACAAGGAGUACUGACAGCUUGAACCAAACAACCAGCUGCAUCAGACCAGAGUCAGAUGGAAGUUGGUCCAUUUAGCCCAGAGCUUCAUUCUACAUGACAAACACACUGAACCUAAAAGCUUAUCCUAAAUUAAUUAAGUAGAUGGUGGUUCUUUGGGGAUCACCCCAUUUUCUCUCGCUGCCGACACUCCAUUCUCUUUCACCUCUUCACCUGACAUUUCCUUCUCUUUCACUUCUCCAGCAGUUGCCUCCUUCUCCUUCCCUUCUUUCUCGGCCUUUAGCCUCUCCUCUUCCUCUUCCUUCUCUGCCUUCACCCUCGCUUCUUCCUUGGCGGUCUCAAGGGCCUGAAUCAAAUUCUCCAAACAAGCUGUCCCAGGAUCAUCAGUACUGAUGGACUUGGGCAUCAAAUUUUCCGCAACAUCAGCAGGAGUCAUAUUGGUUUCCUCCAACAAUCUGCGGAUGCUUGCAAACAAAUGGUGGGAGUCCAGAUCCAAGUAAUUCUUUGCAAGCACCUUGAAUGCUUCAAAGCAACAGUAGGAUAAUUCUAUGUGCCUGUCCAUCCUCCCUCUCCUUAUGAGAGCAGGAUCAAGUUUUUCCACGUGAUUGGUGGUGAAAACUAUGAGUCUCUCUUCGCCACAAGCUGACCACAGCCCAUCAAUAAAAUUCAGAAGCCCGGAUAGAGUAACCUUGCUUUCUUUGCUUUCACCUUCUUUCCCCUUCUUAGGAAUUGGAUUAUCCUUGGACUCUUCGUCCUCCUCUUCCUUUUCCUUCUUUUUCUUACGUUGGCCUGUGAGGUCAAGCGAACAGUCGAUGUCCUCUAUCACAAUGAUGGACUUACUCGUUGUCUCGAUCAGUAGCUUCCGCAGCUCCGUGUUGUCCUUAACGGAAGUGAGUUCAAGAUCAUAGAUAUCAUAAUUCAAAAGGUUAGCCAUGGCAGCAAUCAUGCUCGACUUGCCAGUUCCUGGAGGACCAUGAAGGAGAUACCCUCUCUUCCAAGCCUUCCCAAUUUUUGAAUAAUAAUCUUUCCUCGUGCGGAAGAUGGUGAGAUCAUUAACAAUUUCCUCCUUCUUCUUUGACUCCAUUGCUAGAGUCUCAAAUGUGGCUGGGUGCUCAAAGGCCACAUGACUCCACACGGACUUUUUGUAUCCAUGCCAAUUGUCACUUGGAUUGUUAGUGCAGAGCUUUCGCUGCCGAUUUCUGACUGCAAUUGCCUUCCCCUCCUUUAUCACAUGAUUGAGAUAAGACCCCACGAUCAAAUCUCGGUACUGUUGAUGGAAAGUGAGCCUAUAGUACCUCUUCUCAUCAGCAGCAGGAUAAAAAGAAAUGGCCUGCAUUUUAGGGGGACUUUUAUUGGAAACCCACCAAAGCUUGACCCCCUGGAAUUCAUCCGUGACUUCUUCAUGGUCAUCCAUGCUGAGGACUACAGAUUGGCUGUCUUUGAUGAUAUCUGCCUUGAGCCGCUUGGCCCGGGCAGAUGAAUUAGCACUGAGGUAGUUCUCAAUGGCAGCAUAGGCUUCGCUGCGCUUGCGUCUGAAGCUAUUUUCAGUGAACUCCUGGAAAGUGAUUUGAAUGUAAGGGUACACAAAGCUCACCAACUUUUGGCUGUACUUUUCAAUAUAGGGCCGGAGCUGGUAAGGGAAGUAUUGCUGAAACAUGGCCCAGAGAAAGAUUGCCCCAGCGGCUACCGAGCCUAGUUGACCAAACAUCUCCCCCAUCACCACCUUCUUCUCCAAAGUUUUCGAGUAUUAGUGGUAAAAUGUGUUUGUAAGGAUUGAACGUUGCUUGCCGAUUAUAUAGAGGAGCAAAACCGACACUGAUAUUCAUCAUCUCACAAGUUCUAUUCUGUGGCCACCGCCAACGACGACAUUUCAAGCUCUAUUUAGUGGCUUCGUCACCAAGGAAAAUUCCCAUUUUCUUGUACCAGCAGCCACCUUUGACGAUAUUAAUCGACCGUGGAAUACUGGAAUGGGUGGAAAUUUCAUUCUGAAGGCCAUCGAUAACUGCAUAAAUGUAUUAGAUUGCAGUUCAAUAUAAUUAUGUUUUGACUUUUGAGUCAUGGCUAAAGACAAUUCUAGUUUCAUUCUUCAAAAAAUGACGUACGUUUGGAGAUAAAUUUUUUAAUUAUCAUAUCUUAAAUUAUUUUUAAAAAAAAAUCGAUAUCCUUGUGUUCUAUAUUUUAGGUUAUAUUUAAUUUUCAAAAAUACUAUAAAAAAAAGGUAAAAAUAAUUAUUUGCUCAUAUUUGAUUAUUCUAUAAAAAAUUUUAAAUAUAAUUAAUAUUAGUUAAAAUUUUAUAUAUUAAAAAAUUAAAAUAAAUAAAAUAAAUUUAUGUAAUUUAUAAAUAAAAAAUUAUUAUUUUUAUUUUUUUCUUAUAUAUUUUUUCAAAUUUUUGGAAACAUAACCUUAGUCUUCUCGAAGCUCAUAUUUGAAUUUGAAAUUUCAACUUGUUUGGUUGUUGGAAAGCUUCCAGAAAAGUGGAAAAACAGGAGAAAAUCAAAAGAAAAAAACAAGUAAAAGAUAGUUUAAAUUUAAUCAAUUAUUCCCCACUUUUCUCCUUAGCAUAAAGAAUGUGUCCCCAUACACUUUAAAGAAAAAUAAAAGAUUAUUUAAAUUUAAAUAAUUUAAAUACUGAAGUUCAUAAAUAAUCUUUCUCUUCGUAUUUAAUUUUCUUCCAUUCUCAACUUGUUUAUUGGGUUGAUGAUGCAAUCAGCUGAUAUCAUCAAUUUUUUUUUCACAUGCCUAAAUUGUCCUUAUUACAAUUAUUUUUAAUUAACAUAUAAUUAUCUUAAUUAGUAUAAAUUAAGGAAAAUUAAUCAUAAUCAGCAUUAAAGUAACCAAUACAUUUAAUUCAAACCAUAAAAUCUUAUAUCUUCUUCAAUAAAAAAAACUUCAAUUUCUCAUCUCAUUUUUAUUUUUUAAAUUUCUCCUAGGACACGAGAGAAAUUACAAUAAUAAAUAAAUAAAUAAAUAUAUAAAAGAAUUAGAGUUUGAAAGUAAUUUUAAAAAAUAGUUUUUGUAAAUAAUUUUUAAAAAUAUUUUUAAUUGUUUUGAGGAAUAAUUUUUUUUUUUUGAGAAUUUAAAUAUAGAAAUUUUUUUUAUGAAACUAUUAUAUACUUUUAUAUAAUACAAAAUAUUCUUUGUAUUUUUUAUUUUUAAUUGUUGUUCGAAAUUCUUUAUAAAAAUAUAUAUAAAUUUUGUUUUAAAAAAUCAACAUGUUCUCAAAAAGUCAUUUUUUAAAGUUAGAAAAUUAUUUUUUAUCUUAAACAAUAAAAUUUUAUUUUCAAGAAAACUUUCCAAACAGGUCUAAGAGUUUUGAAAGAAAAGGAAAGGCACUUGACACUUUCUCCACCAAAAUUUAAAUAAAAAAAAAAAUUGAUAAAAACUAAAGAAGAUAAAAAAGGAUAAAGAGUUGUGGACCGACCCACCAGCACGGCUAAGCUCGUCCCAAGGGAUCAUGGGCCAUACUGGGCUGUCCAUUUGUCUUGGACGGGCCGAGCACUAUCUUCAGGCGGCUUGCGCAGCCUGUUGGAACGGCCCGUUUUACGCGGACAUGAUUUCAGCAACUCAGCUAGAUGUUCUUGUUUUUUAGUUUUAGUUUUAUUUUUUAUUUUGGGGAAAAAAAAGGCGGAAAAAUGAUGGGAAAAAGCCUUGUUUUACACGGCUUGGACGAACCAAAUUUGGAAACUUCAUGCAUAAUUCACCCUUUAUUAAAUUAUAUGAAUUAUAAUAUAGUCUAUUUACAAAAAUAUUAAUAUACACUUUAUUAAUAAUUUAAUUUAAUUUCUUGCAUGACGAGCUUGAGCUCUUAGAAAAAAAGUAACGCUAAAGACCAUAUGUUUGAACUUAUUAAAUGAAGAGAAAAGACAAUUCAAUCUUAUCAUAUCUUCGAAAGUAAAAAAUUAGUCACACUCAUUACAAUUGAAAACAUAUCCACAAAAGUUUUGAUACAAAUAAGAUAUUGAAAAUGUUUAAAUCGGGAUGAAUCAUGAAACUUAUAUGACUCACAAUAAUCACAAAACCACUGACAAUACAUAUGAAAAAAAAAUAAACCUUGUACUUGAUGAAGUAAAAAGUCCAUAAUUGAAAGUCGAUAUAAUUAAAUGCACUAAAAUCAAUUACCUAACGAUUAAAGUGAUUGUCUUGCAAGAGUGAGAAAGCAAAAGCAUUACAACAAUUACCCAUGUUUAAAUGACUUAUCAUCUCUUGAACUUGAUUUGUAAGUUGGUUGAUGGGUAUUAUCAAAUUUUGCAUGUUUAGAUCACACUUGGACAAUGUUGCAAUAGUUGUGUGAGAAGUCUUUCAAAGUGUAGAUUUCUCUUUCAUAUUAUACUUCAUAUGGCCAAUUUUUAAAAAUGUAUAUGCAAGGUGAAAUUUAAGUUAUAUUGUCGAGGACUAAAUUUUGUGGCAAACGCAAAAUCUUCAUUUGUCUUUGGUUUUUGCAUUGUUCCAAACAUAAAUUGAUCUUCCUCUACUUUCUUUGAGUAAAAAAAGUUUUUUCAAGUCUCCCUGACUUCAAACUCUGAUAAUACAUAAUCAAUACUAAUAAAAGAAAGAGUAUAAUGAAGUACAAAAGUUAUAACAAACUCAAAAUUAUCUAAAAAAGCCAUUAGAAAUUACACAAGAUGUAAUUCUUCUUUGUAAUUGUUACGAAAUAAUGAGACUAGACAAUAAGAAAACAAAAUAAGAACAUAUAGAUUUACAUGAAAAUCCUAGGUGGAAAAAACCGUAAGCAUAGGAGAAGAAGAUCCACUAUGUCAAAAAAUAGUACAAAAGAGAAGAGUUGUGAAUGGUUACAAUAAAAGUAUAAUUAUCAUAACAUUAAAACUAUACAUCAUCAUCUAUAUAUAUAUACCUAUCCGCCCAAUCCCUCCACUACCACUACAAACCCUCCAAAAAAAUCUCAAAAUUAGCUAUACCACAUAUGUCACACCACAAGCUUUUCAAGAUUGGCAAAAGAGAAAUCGGGUCACCAAACUCUAAUAGUAUGAAUACUAUAAUUGAGCAUCAACAAUCCACUUUGGCUCCAUAUGAGCAAAUUCAUAUGAGAGAAUUAAGAUUUCACCAUGAAAUUUAAAAUUAAUUGCUUUUUCUUUUGUUUUCAAUCACAAAUAUCAAUCUCAAGUUUGUAUUUUCGUGUGAAGUUUAUUUAAACAUAAUAUUCUACAAGAAAAUCCCAACAUAUACAAGAAAAUACCAUUGUUACAUACAGAUGACUAUAAAAAAUAGUCAAUCAUAGAAGAAAGAUGACAACGGAAAGUAAUUAUUAUUAUGGGAAGGAUGACCGACAAAAAUAAACAACCAUCAAAUACCAACAAUGACCACGUCUUGCUAUCAUCUUCUCCUUUUCUUCUUCAAAAGCUAUGAACAACUAAAUUCAUAAUCCAUGUUAUAAAUUAUUAUUUUUUCCCCUUUUUUCUUAUCUCUCACUCCUCUUGUUUAUUCUCCCCUCUUCCUCUUACAUGUUUCGUGAUUUUUCCAAAUAUUUCUUUGUGCUAGAAAUAUAUUUCCACAAUCCAUUCCCUUUCAAGAAAUUGUUCAUCAAAUAAGAUCACUGGUUAUAAUUUGAUUUGCCGAACCUAACACAGACAGAUUGGGAUAGAUUAGAGGAGGCCUUUGAAAAAGAAAACCACAGGAAAUAAAAAUCUGUGACCUAAACUGAAGAGAAAAGCUACCAAAGCACCUUUCUUGCUAAUUCACGUGAUCUGAAUGAGAGUCCCGCCCUCGAGUUUUUCUUUCCCAUAGUAAGCGUAGAGAUUCUUCACACCAGGCCCACCACAGUAACAGAGGAAUGGAAAAAAUUAUUCAAAGAGAUAAAGGAUUUGAUAGCAUAGAAACUUUUCUACAUAGAAUUUUACAGACCAUUCUAUUAAACUUUAGGAUUAAUGAACAUCAUACACACAUAUGCAUACAAGUACAUGAAAUGAUCUAAAGCCAAUACUACACAAUCAGAGAAAUAUAUUCACAGCCCACGAGGUCGAUUGUGGUUAGACUACCCCAUUUUCUUUCACUGCAACUCCAUUCUGUUUCUCUUUCUCACCUGACGCUUCCUUCUCUUUCACUUCUCCAGCAGUUGCCUCCUUCUCCUUCCCUUCUUUCUCGCCCUUUAACCUCUCUUCUUCCUCCUCCUUCUCUUUAGCUUCCUUCUCGGCCUUCACCCUCGCUUCUUCCUUGGCGGUCUCAAGGGCCUGAAUCAAACUCUCCAAACAAGUUGUCCCAGGAUCACCAGUGACGGACUUGGGCAUCAAAUUUUCCGCAACAUCAGCAGGAGUCAUAUUGGUUUCCUCCAACAAUCUGCGGAUGCUUGCAAACAAAUGGUGGGAGUCAAGAUCCAAGUAAUUCUUAGCCAGCACCUUGAAUGCUUCAAAGCAACAGUAGGAUAAUUCUAUGUGCUUGUCCAUCCUCCCUCUCCUUAUGAGAGCAGGAUCAAGUUUUUCCACAUAAUUGGUGGUGAAAAUUAUCAGCCUCUCUUCCCCACAAGUUGACCACAACCCAUCAAUAACAUUCAGGAGCCCCGAUAGAGUAACUUUGCUUUCUUUGCUUUCACCUUCUUUUUCCAUUUUACGAAUUGGAUCCUUCUUCUCUUCCUCAUUCGUUUCCUUCUUCUUCUUGCGUUGGCCUGUGAGGUCAAGCGAACAGUCGAUGUCCUCGAUCACAAUGAUGGAUUUAUUCCUUGUCUCGAUCAAUAGCAUCCGCAGCUCCGUGUUGCUCUUAACUGAAGUGAGUUCAAGAUCAUAGAUGUCAUAAUCUAAAAGAUUUGCCAUGGCAGCAAUCAUGGUCGAUUUGCCGGUUCCUGGGGGGCCAUAAAGGAGAUACCCUCGCUUCCAAGCCUUCCCAAUUUUUGAAUAGUACUCUUUCCUCCUACUGAAGAUUGUGAGAUCAUUAACAAUCUCCUCCUUCUUCUUUGGUUCCAUUGCUAGAGUCUCAAAUCUGGCUGGGUGCUCAAAGGCUACAUGACUCCAUAAUGUCCUUCUGUACCCAUGCCACUUGUCACUUGGAUUGUUGGUGUAGAGCUUUCGCUGCCGAUUUCUGACUUCAAUUGCCUUCCCUUCCUUCAUCACAUGAUUCAAAUAAGAACCCACGAACAUUUCCCGGUGGUUUUUAUGGAAAGUGAGCUUGUAGAACCUCUUCUCAUCAGCAGCAGGAUAAAAAGAAAAGGUCUGCGUUUUAGGGGGGUUUUUAUGGGAAGCCCACCAAAGCUUGACCCCCUUGAAUUCAUCUGUGACUUCUUCUCGGUCAUCCAUACUGAGGACUAGAGAUUGGCUGUCUUUGAUGACGUCUGCUUUCAGCCGCUUGGCUCGGGUCGAUGCAUUGACACUGAGGUAAUUCUCAAUGGCAACAUAGGCUUCACUGCGUUUGAAGCGAUCUUCAGAGAACUCCUGGAAAGUGAUUUGAAUGUAAGGGUACACAAAGCUCACCAAUUUCUGGCUGUAUUUUUCAAUAUAGGACCGGAACUGAUGAGGCGUGUAUUGCUGAAACAUUACCCAGAGAAACAUUGCGCCAGCAACUAGUGAGCCUGGUUUAGCCCACAUCUCCCCCAUCAUCAUCAUCAUCUUCUACAAAGUUUUCAAAGACUUGUAAUAGAAUGUGUUUGUAAUGAUUUCGAGUGUUUAGUUGCCUAUUAUAUAGAGAAGAGACAGACACACCAGGUCUACCCACUUUCCUACUAUGCGUGACCACAUUUCGAGUUCCUUACUGUUUUUUUUAUAGUGGCUUGGUCUCCAAGGAAGACUACCAUUGUCUUCUACCAGCAGCCACCUUUGACCAUAUUCCACCAUGGAUGUAGAGGAAUUUUUUUUUGUAAAUCGCAGCUGGAUACCCAUGCGAAAAGACAAGUCAACCGAAAAAAUUAUGUUCACGUCUCUCUCUACUUAGCGCAUCGCUGAGACAACUGAUGACGAUAUAAAUUUCGAUCUGCAGAUUCAAAUUAAACAUAAUUAUACAACAUAAAUUUAACAGGUUUAAACUAAACAUAAUUAUGUUUGAAUCAUGAAAUGUCCACAUCCCCCUCAACUAGUAAUAAUCGAAGCUCACAUUAACAGAGAUUCAAAUCAUGCAAACUGCUGCAACUCCUUCCGUCUAAUGCUAGCUAUGCACUGAAAAACUAAAACAAGGCUCAAGAUUCUGGAGAAAUACCUCAAGAGUAGAAGGGCAUUGAUUUCAACGUCUGAUCAUGCUGAUCCUUGGAUGACAUGCGGCUUCUGUUUUCAGACACAAAAACAGUUGAAACGCCAUGUGCAUGCAUGCAGCCAAAAUAGUUUCCCAAUUUUUAAUGAGGUAGGUUAUACUAACCUUUCGGGCCUCCUUAUAUAUUUUUUAAAAAUUUUCGGGAUUAAACAUAACCUCAGACUCCUCUAAACUCACAUUUGAAUUUUAUAUUUUAAGUUGUUUGGUUGUUGGAAAGCUUCAAGGAAAGUGGAAAGACAGGUGGGAAAACAGGAGAAAAUCGAAAGAAAGAAACAUUGAAGGAAAGUAAAAGAUUAUUGAAAUUUUUAAUCAAUUAUUCCUCACUUUAAAGGAAAGUUAAAAAUUAUUUAAAUUUAAUGGAUUGUUCCUUAUUUUUCUUUUUAGCAUAAAAAAUUUGAAAAAUGUUAAAGUAGAUAAAUAAUCUUUCUCGUAUUUAAUUUUCUUAUUACAUUUGUAAUAAUUUUGUAUUUUAUUUGAGUACUUUUCAUGGAGCCAACAUAAUUCAAUCAGCUGAUAUCAUCAAUUUUCUUUUCAAAUGCCUAAAAUAUCCUUAUUACAAUUAAUUUUAAUUAACAUAUAAAUUAGCUUAAUUAGUUUAAAUUAAUCAUAAUCAACAUUAAAGUAAUCUAUACAUUUAAUUUCAAACCAUUAUCAAUUAGUUCUUAAAUAUAUUUUAAUUAAACAUAAAUCAAGUUAAUUAAAUAACUAACACCGGCUUAGAACUGGCUAUCUACUUUUGUGCUUGACAUCAUCCGCCUCGUCAACUAUUCCUCUUUCAAUUAAAGGGUGUGAAAUAUCAAGUUAAGAGUCAAAGAAUGAUCUUUAAUGAAAGCUCGAGUUAGGGAUUAUUGACCAAUACAAAGGGAUUUCCCAAUAGAGAAGGGUGGGAGAGGCAACCUCGUAACAACAUUAGUACAAGAGAAAUAUGAAUAGGUUGGGGGAUACAUAGUCACAGGUAUAGUUGAAUGGUUACAACGGUGAAACUUUGUAGUUGAAUAAGAAAGUUUCGUCUCCAAUGAAGGAUUUUUUAUCUUUUUCAAUAAAACACUCCAAUUUCUCAUCUCAUUUUUAUUUUUCAAAUGUUUAUCUUAUUGUCCUAUUAUCUCAAAUUUUUAAAAUUUCUCCUUUGAAAAUUCUUCCAACUUUUUUGUAAUCUAGAAUUCAUAAAUUUUGGACUCAAAAUUUUGUUAAUUUUGGAUUAGGGGAUUUCAUUAUUUUCCCAAAUUUGAGCUUUAUAAUAUCUCUAACACUAGGAAUUCGGGUUUUUAAUUAAAGUCUCUCCAACUUUGUCCCCAUCUUUAUAUCUCAAGCGAUGUGAAUUUUUCAUUUGGAGAUUUUUUAUUUUUUUUAAUUGUUUUUAUAAUCCCAUCAUCCUCUUUUGUAUUUUAAUAUUUUCAAAUAAAAUACCUAUAAAUUUGAUUAAACGAUGAAUAACAAUAAUUCUCAAAAUCAAACUUUGUAACAUUUUUGGAAAAGCUUAACUAUUUAUAAUAGUUUUUAAAAGAUUUUAACACCAAAUAAUCAACUCUAUAUUACAAAUAUUUUUCUUAACUAAAUAAUAUGUCAAUUUCCUCUAUUUCCCUCUUAGUCUUUCUAUUUCGUGAAAUUUGAUUUCUCCAAAUAUUUCUUUGUGCCAGAAAUAUAUUUCCACAUUCCCUUCCCUUGCAAGAAAUUGUUCAUCAAAUAAGGCCGCCGGUUAUUAUUUGGUUUGUCUAACUUAACACGGACGGGUUGGGACAGAUUAGAGGAGGCCUUUGAAAAUUCCCAAGGAAAAAAAAACCCCACAGGAAACAAAAAUAUCUGACCUAGGGUCCUAAACUGAAGAGAAAAGCUACCCAAAUUAACUUAAUUUCUUGCUCAUUAACGUGAUACGAAAGAGAGUACCGCCCUCGAGCUUUUCUUUCCCAAAGCAAGCGUAGAGAUCCUUCACAUCAGGCCCACCACAACAACGAAGGAAUGAAACAAUUAUUUCGAAGAGUUGACGGCUUUGAAACCAUGAAACUUUUCUCAAUAGAAUCUUAAUUACAGAGCAUUCUAUUAAACAAUAGCAUUAAUGUACAUCACAUACACGUAUGUAUACAAUUACAUGGAAUGAUCUAAAGCCAAUAAUACAUAAACAGGAUAAAGCCUAAAAGUAAAGAACUAAAUAUACACAAUCAGAGAAAUAUUCACAGCCCAAAAGUAAAGAAAUGAUAUGAUACACAAUCAAAGAAAUAUUCACAGCCUAUGGUGUCGAUUGUGGGUCCUAGAAGACCACUCCAUUUUCUUUCACUGCUGCCACUCCAUUCUCUGUCACUCUUUCAUCUGACAUUUCCUUCUCUUUCACUUCUCCAGCAGUUGCUUCCUUCUCCUUAGCUUCUUUCUCGGCCUUUACCCUCUUUUCUUCCUCUUCCUUCUCUUUAGCUUCCUUCUCGGCCUUCACCCUCGCUUCUCCCUUGGCGGUCCCAAGGGCCAGAAUCAAAUUCUCCAAACAAGUCCCAGGAUCAUCAGUGAUGGUCUUGGGCAUCAAAUAUUCUGCAACAUCAGCAGGAGUCAUAUUGGUUUCCUCCAUCAAUCUGCGGAUGCUUGCAAACAAAUGGUGGGAGUCAAGAUCCAAGUAAUUCUUAGCCAGCACCUUGAAUGCAUCAAAGCAACAGUAGGAUAAUUCUAUGUGCUUAUCCAUCCUCCCUCUCCUAAUGAGAGCAGGAUCAAGUUUUUCCACAUAAUUGGUGGUGAAAACUAUCAGCCUCUCUUCCCCACAAGUUGACCACAGCCCAUCAAUAACAUUCAGAAGCCCGGAUAGAGUAACCUUGCUUUC
rnacentral:lncRNA from 1 species